CUGAAGGACUACUGGUGCUGCUCUAGCUGAGUUUUCUGAGAUUCUGGACCCAUAAGACAUCCAAUAAUUACUGGGUUUAUAGGAUAUGUGUGGUUGUGCACGAAUUUACACUGUGGAAGUCAGAGAACAACUUACCGGUUGUGUCACAUCGCUCCCAGCGUCCCCUAAUCCUCCCCAGCAAGGCUGCAGCCCCUAAGCCUGCCCAGUCAGCUCCAUCAACCAGGUGGGACCAGGUGUUCAAAUGCCUGAGCCUGAGAGGGAAGACUGUCACUCAAACCACCACAGAAUACCUGGGGAGGUCAGAGGACAACUCGGAGGAGUCAACUCUCUUCUACCUUUACGUGGGUCCUAGGGAUUGAAUUCAGAUCAUCUGGCUUCAGGCAAGGCAAGCACCUUUACCUAGAAGCCAUUUUAUCAGGUUCCCUCAUCUUGCAUUUAGUUUGCCCCGCCCCCUCCUCCCGACCCCGUGUCAUCCCCACCCCCACCUUGCAGAGCCCAAUCGUCCCUGUCCGUCCAGUCCAGUCUGUCUCCCGACCCCCUUUCUAAGAAUAAAGCUUGAAUUAUUGG